UCAUUUCAUUUCUUAUUAACACCAGACGAGAAAUAUAAAACAAAAACCAAGGAAAUGCAUAAUAAAUAGGCUCAAAUCUCACAUUUAGAAGUUAGUUCACAAAAAGAUAGUCAACAUAGCACAUUAUGCUAAUUAUUAGCUUUCAAAAGACAACCCCAUUAUCAACAUUGAACAAGUCUGUCAAAGAAAAUUUUCAAGGGUACCUCAAAGACAUAAUCUCUAUUUUUA
rnacentral:lncRNA from 1 species